ACACAUGCAAGUCGAGGGGAAACGACAUCGAAAGCUUGCUUUUGAUGGGCGUCGACCGGCGCACGGGUGAGCAACGCGUAUCCAACCUGCCCACCACUUGGGGAUAACCUUGCGAAAGUAAGACUAAUACCCAAUGACGUCUCUAGAAGACAUCUGAAAGAGAUUAAAGAUUUAUCGGUGAUGGAUGGGGAUGCGUCUGAUUAGCUUGUUGGCGGGGUAACGGCCCACCAAGGCGACGAUCAGUAGGGGUUCUGAGAGGAAGGUCCCCCUCAUUGGAACUGAGACUCGGUCCAAACUCCUACGGGAGGCAGCAGUGAGGAAUAUUGGUCUAUGGGCGASAGCCUGAACCAUCCAAUCAGCGUGCAGGAUGACGGCCCUAUUGGUUGUAAACUGCUUUUAUAAGGGAAUAAAGUGAGUCUCGUGAGACUUUUUGCAUGUACCUUAUGAUUAAUGACCGGCUAAUUCCGUGCUAGCAGCCGCGGUAAUACGGAAGGUCCGGGCGUUAUCCGGAUUUAUUGGGUUUAAAGGGAGCGUAGGCCGGAGAUUACGUUCGUUUUGAAAUGUAGACGCUCAACGUCGCACUGCAGCGCGAACUGGUUUCCAAGAGUACGCACAAAGUGGGCGGAAUUCGUGGUGUAGCGGUGAAAUGCUUAGAUAUCACGAAGAACUCCGAUUGCGAAGGCAGCUCACUGGAGCGCAACUGACUCCGAAGCUGGAAAGCGGGGGUAUUGAACAGGAUUAGAUACCCUGGUAGUCCACACCGUUAAAGAUCGAUGCCCGGAGUUGGUUUGAAUAGGUCAGCGGCCAAG
rnacentral:rRNA from 1 species